GGAGAGGUGACGGAGCGGUUGAACGUGGCGGUCUCGAAAACCGUUGGACAUUUUCGUGUCCCGAGGGUUCGAAUCCCUCCCUCUCCGCCA
rnacentral:tRNA from 1 species